UCUAAUACCGGAUAAUACUCCUGCCUGCAUGGGCGGGGGUUAAAAGCUCCGGCGGUGAAGGAUGAGCCCGCGGCCUAUCAGCUUGUUGGUGGGGUAAUGGCCUACCAAGGCGACGACGGGUAGCCGGCCUGAGAGGGCGACCGGCCACACUGGGACUGAGACACGGCCCAGACUCCUACGGGAGGCAGCAGUGGGGAAUAUUGCACAAUGGGCGAAAGCCUGAUGCAGCGACGCCGCGUGAGGGAUGACGGCCUUCGGGUUGUAAACCUCUUUCAGCAGGGAAGAAGCGAAAGUGACGGUACCUGCAGAAGAAGCGCCGGCUAACUACGUG
rnacentral:rRNA from 1 species